GACGUAGGGCGCGAGCGUUGUCCGGAUUUAUUGGGCGUAAAGAGCUCGUAGGCGGUGUGUCACGUCGGCCGUGAAAACCUGCAGCUUAACUGUGGGCGUGCGGUCGAUACGGGCAUCACUGGAGUUCGGCAGGGGAGACUGGAAUUCCUGGUGUAGCGGUGAAAUGCGCAGAUAUCAGGAGGAACACCGGUGGCGAAGGCGGCAUCCUGGACCGGUAUUGACGCUGAGGCGCGAAAGCUAGGGGAGCAAACGGG
rnacentral:rRNA from 1 species